GGUGGGUUUGUAAGUCAGAUGUGAAAGCCUUCUGUUCAACGGGAGAAUUGCAUCUGAAACUACAGACCUUGAGUAUAGGAGGGGAGAAUGGAACUUCUGGUGGAGCGGUGAAAUGCGUAGAUAUCAGAAGGAACGCCGGCGGCAAAAGCGAUUCUCUGGCCUAUUACUGACACUCAGUGUGCGAAAGCUAGGGGAGCAAACGGGAUUAGAUACCCCGGUAGUCCUAGCCGUAAACGAUGGGCACUAAGUAGAGGGGUUU
rnacentral:rRNA from 1 species